rnacentral:rRNA from 1 species
AGUGAACGCUGGCGGUAGGCCUAACACAUGCAAGUCGAACGGCAGCACAGUAAGAGCUUGCUCUUACGGGUGGCGAGUGGCGGACGGGUGAGGAAUACAUCGGAAUCUACUUUUUCGUGGGGGGUAACGUAGGGAAACUUACGCUAAUACCGCAUACGACCUACGGGUGAAAGCAGGGGAUCUUCGGACCUUGCGCGAUUGAAUGAGUCGAUGUCGGAUUAGCUAGUUGGCGGGGUAAAGGCCCACCAAGGCGACGAUCCGUAGCUGGUCUGAGAGGAUGAUCAGCCACACUGGAACUGAGACACGGCCCAGACUCCUACGGGAGGCAGCAGUGGGGAAUUUUGGACAAUGGGCGCAAGCCUGAUCCAGCCAUACCGCGUGGGUGAAGAAGGCCUUCGGGUUGUAAAGCCCUUUUGUUGGGAAAGAAAAGCAGUAGGUUAAUACCCCGCUGUUCUGACGGUACCCAAAGAAUAAGCACCGGCUAACUUCGUG